rnacentral:rRNA from 1 species
GAUGAACGCUGGCGGCGUGCCUAAUACAUGCAAGUCGAGCGAACGGACGAGAAGCUUGCUUCUCUGAUGUUAGCGGCGGACGGGUGAGUAGCACGUGGAUAACCUACCUAUAAGACUGGGAUAACUUCGGGAAACCGGAGCUAAUACCGGAUAAUAUUUUUAACCGCAUGGUUCAAAAGUGAAAGACGGUCUUGCUGUCACUUAUAGAUGGAUCCGCGCUGCAUUAGCUAGUUGGUAAGGUAACGGCUUACCAAGGCAACGAUGCAUAGCCGACCUGAGAGGGUGAUCGGCCACACUGGAACUGAGACACGGUCCAGACUCCUACGGGAGGCAGCAGUAGGGAAUCUUCCGCAAUGGGCGAAAGCCUGACGGAGCAACGCCGCGUGAGUGAUGAAGGUCUUCGGAUCGUAAAACUCUGUUAUUAGGGAAGAACAUAUGUGUAAGUAACUGUGCACAUCUUGACGGUACCUAAUCAGAAAGCCACGGCUAACUACGUG